rnacentral:rRNA from 1 species
UAAAACGUAGGUACCGAGCGUUAUCCGGAUUUACUGGGCGUAAAGCGUGUUCAGGCGGCCGCGCAAGUCGGGCAUGAAAUCUCUCGGCUCAACCGGGAGGGGUUGUCCGAUACUGCGUGGCUGGAGGGCAGUAGAGGGUGGUGGAAUUCCGGGUGUAGUGGUGAAAUGCGUAGAGAUCCGGAGGAACACCAGUGGCGAAAGCGGCCACCUGGACUGUACCUGACGCUCAAACACGAAAGCUAGGGGAGCGAACGGGAUUAGAAACCCCGGUAGUCCUAGCUAUAAACGAUGUAGACUAGGUGUCAGCGGUCUAAACCCCGUUGGUGCCGGAGCUAACGCACUAAGUCUACCGCCUGGGGACUACGGCCGCAAGGCUA